rnacentral:rRNA from 1 species
UAGUUCGGAUUGUAGGCUGCAACUCGCCUACAUGAAGCUGGAAUUGCUAGUAAUCACAGGUCAGCAUACUGUGGUGAAUACGUUCCCGGGCCUUGUACACACCGCCCGUCACACCAUGAGAGUUGAGAAUACCCGAAGUCCAUGUCAAAGUGGCCGAAGGUAGGCUUGAUGAUUGGGGUGAAGUCGUAACAAGGUACC